CGAGCGAAUCGAGAGACGAAGCAUCUGGACCCGAGCCAGAAAGGCGUCACGAUGCAGGAGUUGACGAGGAGAGCAAACAAAACGGAGCGGCAUCAACCGAGGAAGAGAAAAUGAAAAGGGAACAAGUGUGUCAUCAAGACAAGCCUCAGCUUAUGUGUUUCAGAUAUGUGGCACUGCAGGUCUUCAUCCAAAUUCACCUGGCACAUAGACCUACGACAAUGUGUUUACAAAUGGAUCCAGAGACAUGUGUCUCGACUCUUAAACAGAUAAUUUGCGAGAAAAUUAGUAUCCGGCCUCAACAGCAGCGACUGUACAUCCGAAGAAACUUUCGUAACUUUGAGCUCCAUAACUUGCUGACACUUCACGACUGUGGAAUUCAUCAGGACGAGAACAUCUCACUCCGUCUGUGUACUGAUGGCUUACUGGGCGGUGGACGGAAAGGUAAAUGCUUAUGG